AUGUAACUGAAAUACAUGCAAUCAAAAGUUCAUUUAUUAAAAAUUAUUAAACACAACGUAAAUAUGCUUAAUAUAAACUGAAUGUAAACAAACAGAGUAAACUUUAAGAAUGAUUUUUGGCCAUCAUAAAUAUGAAGUGAUAUUUUAUGUAAAAUGUAACUAAAAUACAUAAUAUCAAAAGCGUAUGUAGUUAAAAUAAUUAAACACAACUUAAACAUGCUUAAUAUAAACUGAAAGUAAACAAAUCGAAUAAACUUUACUAGCUCCAAAAGCAGGCUGCGCGCAUGUCCUACUGUUGCACAUGCGCAUAUUCUGCUUUGCCCUGUAUUCUUUUGAGUGAGCGGGACAACAUGGACGUGACGUUAAAGUUUUAUAAGAUGAAUGCAGAAUUCAUGCGUCUAACAACUUCACCGCUUCAAGCCAAGUUCCUGGCACAGCUUGACAAAUACGCAGCCAACUUAAUCAAGGUCUUCAGCAGUAGAGGAGGAGCUGCUGGAAGGAAGAUCCGAUUCCUCAUGGCUCCAACAGCUAAGGCAAUUUGUAGGAGAGUGAAGACAUUGAGAUGAAGAGGGGCUGUGUCGUCAGAAGCCUGUGUGUUUACCUCAAUGAGGACAGCAACACACUCAUCAAGGAGUACUUGGAUGUCAACAGUGAGGAAGCUAAGAGAGAGAUUGCACAGACCACCAUGGGGCUGUAUGUGAUUUGCAGAGAAGGUGCUGAUGAAGAGGACAAGCCAGCGGAUGUUGGAGUGGUGGUUGAGGGUGUGGAACUGCUAAGCGAGCUAGGAUGUAUUUCCUUUGGUUGUGCCAUGCUUUUUGGCCUGAUCUACACACUCAACCUGAACUAUCUUUCAGAAGGAUUUGAUGAACAUGGAUGGCAACAAACUGUCCCCAAAGGUGCAAACAUUAAAGAUUAAGAUGCAUCAGUGUGCGGUAGUUUGUUUUUUUGAUUUUUCAUAGACUUAUCCAGGUUUCUACCAGCACCUCAUUGUUGUUGCUGUGCUUGGGGAAUUUUUUGUUUUGAUGUAACUGUUGAUGUUGGAAUUGCUCAAACUGAUAUUGGAUACUCAUAUUUUAAACGCUUUGAGUAUUGUAUUGAAAAAAAGGCUCUUUGAAUGGAAAACAAUUUUUUAAAAGAUUAUUUUAAAAUUCAUUUUAAGUUACUGAAUUACUUAUUUUAUGCUUAUUUUUUAUUUCUUUAGCCUUCAUAGUACUGUCAGGUUUACUGGAAAACCUUGUGCACUUUGCCAUUAGACUAUUUUUUUGCAAUCCGUCAAUAAAAUUUUCCAUUUAUA